UGGUGGUUGAUUUUCUAUACUGUUUAAGUGUUGGUUGUUGAUUGUGUAUACUGUUCAUGUGUUGGUGGUUGAUUUUGUAUACUGUUCAUGUGUUUGUGGUUGAUUUUGUAUACUGUUUAAGUGUUGGUGGUUGAUUUUAUAUACUGUGUAUGUGUUGGUGGUUGAUUGUGUAUACUGUUCAUGUGUUGGUGGUUGAUUUUGUAUACUGUUUAAGUGUUGGUGGUUGAUUUUAUAUACUGUGUAUGUGUUGGUGGUUAAUUUUAUAUACUGUGUAUGGGUUGAUGGUUGAUUUUGUAUAUUGUUUAUGGGUUGGUGGUUGAUUUUCUAUACUGUUUAAGUGUUGGUGGUUGAUUUUAUAUACUGUGUAUGUAAUGGUGGGUGAUUUUGUAUACGGUUUAUGUGUUGAUGGUUGAUUGUGUAUACUGUUCAUGUGUUGGUGGUUGAUUGUGUAUACUGUUUAUGUGUUGGUGGUUGAUUUUGUAUACUGUUUAUGUGUUGGUGGUUGAUUUUGUAUAUUGUUUAUGGGUUGGUGGUUGAUUUUGUAUAUUGUUUAUGGGUAGGUGGUUGAUUUUGUAUACUGUUUAAGUGUUGGUUGUUGAUUGUGUAUACUGUUUAUGUGUUGGUGGUUGAUUGUGUAUACUGUUCAUAUGUUGGUGGUUUAUUUUGUAUACUGUUUAUGGGUUGGUGGUUGAUUUUAUAUAGUGUUUAUGUGUUGGUGGUUGAUUUUGUAUACUGUUUAUGGGUUGGUGGUUGAUUUUGUAUAUUGUUUAUGUGUUGGUGGUUGAUUUUGUAUAUUGUUUAUGGGUUGGUGGUUGAUUUUUUAUACUGUUUAUGUGUUGGUUGUUGAUUUUGUAAACUGUUUAUGUGUUCGUGGUUAAAUUGGAUAUACUGUUCAACUGUUGGUGGUUGAUUGUGUAUACUGUAUAUGUGUUGUUGGUUAAUUUGAUAUACUGUGUUGGUGUUGGUGGUUGAUUGUGUAUACUGUAUAUGUGUUGGUGGUUAAUUUUGUAUACUGUUUAUGUGUUGGUUGUGGAUUUAAUAUACUGUGUAUGUGUUGUAUUUUUUUCUUUUCGUUUUCCUCUUUUCAAAUUGACAUCAUGUUGAUAUUGAACACUACGAAAGAAAUCUAAAAUGGGAAAUCACUUUUCGAGUCAACAGGUGUUUAUAAGUGUUAAAAUCCAAAAAUCUAUUAAAAAGAAAAACAA
rnacentral:lncRNA from 1 species